GACGAACGCUGGUGGCGUGCCUAAUACAUGCAAGUCGAGCGGACCAAUAGAAGCUUGCUUCUGUUGGUUAGCGGCGGACGGGUGAGUAACACGUGGGCAACCUGCCUGUAAGACUGGGAUAACUUCGGGAAACCGGAGCUAAUACCGGAUAAUUCAUCCCCUCGCAUGAGGGGAUGCUGAAAGUCGGUUUACGCUGACACUUACAGAUGGGCCCGCGGCGCAUUAGCUAGUUGGUGAGGUAAUGGCUCACCAAGGCGACGAUGCGUAGCCGACCUGAGAGGGUGAUCGGCCACACUGGGACUGUGACACGGCCCAGACUCCUACGGGAGGCAGCAGCAGGGAAUCUUCCACAAUGGACGAAAGUCUGAUGGAGCAACGCCGCGUGAGCGAUGAAGGCCUUCGGGUCGUAAAGCUCUGUUGUUAGGGAAGAACAAGUAUCGGAGUAACUGCCGGUACCUUGACGGUACCUAACCAGAAAGCCACGGCUAACUACGUGCCAGCAGCCGCGGUAA
rnacentral:rRNA from 1 species